rnacentral:lncRNA from 1 species
GAUCAUGAACCAAAGAAAACGGAUUUGGAUCGGGGAAAAACAAAAAUAAUCGAAUAGUCGUCUAUUCCGUCCGUCAAUAUCCGAGGUAAGUUUAUAAGCAAAUAGAUGUUAUAAUUUUUAAUUAAAUGUGAAUUAUAUGUGCUGAAAUGAAUAUGUGAAUAAAUAUAUGUAUUAGCCGAAUGUGUACAAGCUUGGCAGCUAUGUUUAUGAAUUCGUUUCGACUGAGUUAUGACGUCUGAAAGCCCCGUAUGAACCUUAGGAAUAGUUAGGAUACAUAUGUCAUGACAUAGGAUUUCAAUAUGUAUUUUCGUGUAAGACCACUUCUGGGACGUUGGCAUCGACUUGUGUAUACGUGUAAGACCAUGUCUGGGACAUUGACAUUGUAUUUGAUUUGUGUAAGACCUUGUCUGGGACAGUGGCAUCGAUAUGUGAUUACAUGUAAGACCACGUCUGGGACGUUGGCAUUGUACGAGCCUUCCGACUAUCCGACUAUCCGAAUAUCCUUUUUAAUUCCGAAUGGUUCAACAGGUAAAGAUAAGUUGCGUACGAAUGUUUAAAUCAGGCUAAGUGACCAGGUAUGUGAUAAUUGAUUAUCUAUUUGAAAAUAAGGUAAGUUGUAUACUUGAAUUGAUGAUAUGAAGUUAUGUGAAAUAUGAAUUAUGUGAUUGCAUAUUUGAAUAUAUAUGUAUUCGGCCUUUGAUGUAUAUGUGUAUUGAGGAAAGUGAUGAUUAGUUAUAUUAAUGUUCAAUUGAUUAUUUGGUAAAGAGGGAAGUUAUUACAAAUUAUAUAAGUUUUGAUAUAUAAGUUGAUAAAUUGAAUUAUAUGUGAAAUUAUAAUGGUUUAUUACUAAUUGUCUAGCUUAAUUUACGUAAAUGAUUAAAUAUUUAUUUGCUUAUGACUUACUAAGCUUUGAUAGCUUACGGUGUGAAAUCGCUUUCUGUUUUAUAGAUUUGGAAGUUGGUUAUGAGCUCGGCGAUCAUCAGAGAAGUCUAUCACACUAUCGAGUACUGUUUUCAGUAUUUUACUAAGUUUGAAAUUGAACUUAUGGCAUGUAUAGUCUAGUUAAUAUGUUUG